AUGAAAUUUAUCGAGAUCGAACGAUUAAGCGAUUAAUGGGUUAAAUUGGACGAAAGAAAAGUUAGAAAUUGAAACUAAUGGAUGUGGCAACUUAAAGGACCAAAUAGAAUAUUUUACCAAGCUAUAUAUACCAACUCCAUAGGCAUAUGAAGCCUUCAAAGUCUGAUUUCCAGCAAGGAAGGGUUUAGAAGAUCUUCAUCUCCUCUCAAAGCUCCAUGAUCUUCUUUUGCUUGCCGGUUCUUCGUUUCUCGUCCGAUUCGCUUGAUUUUUGCGGCAACGGAAAGAGGAGAGGAUUAUCUAUCAAUAUAUGGAAUCAAUUCAAGAUUACGGUUUGGAGCGAUUUUGUUGUGUGAGAUCGGGGAAAUUAAUCUCUAACACCUAAUGGCUGUCAAUCAAGACUUGACGAGGCGACUACCAAUGGAACCCUGAACUUACAAAACGCGACAUCACUUAGCUAUUAUCAAAGAUUAUGGAUAGAAGGCGGUUUAUGAUUUGAGCAUUGGUCGAUCUCCGUUUCUUCACUCUCGGAGGUUCUUUAUUUAUUUCAGAAUAAAGUGUUGAACUAUUUUAAAACUCUUAGACCGCAGUAGUAGUA